AUAUUAUUUUUUCUUGAAAUCCAUUAAGAUAUUUAGAAAAAGGAAAGUUUGUGUUGGUAAAUACGGAUAAUUGAAAGUUGCUUGGGAUUGGUUGAUUUUUGAAUGCUGGAAGGGGUAUUUUGGAAGGAGGAGAAUGAAUGAGCAAUGAGAGUCAGGUGUUUUGAGCGAUAGAGAGGCGAAGUCCAGUUUUCGAGAAGAGUGUACAAAAUAGUGAAACGCCGGGUUAGUUAGUUUUGUUUUUGAAAAUUAAAAAGUAAGAUAUCGUGGAACGAGUGAUAGGCCGAGAGGAGAUAGUGUAUAACUCCAGGAGCUUAGAGUAUCCCGGUUUGUUGAAGUGUUUAAAAAAGGUGGAACACGGCAUCAGGAGAAGGCAGGAACGAGUGCUGUACGAGGCGUAGUUUUCAAA
rnacentral:lncRNA from 1 species